UACGUAGGGGGCGAGCGUUGUCCGGAAUUACUGGGCGUAAAGAGCUCGUAGGUGGUUUGUCGCGUUGUUCGUGAAAACUCACAACUCAAUUGUGGGCGUGCGGGCGAUACGGGCAGACUGGAGUACUGCAGGGGAGACUGGAAUUCCUGGUGUAGCGGUGGAAUGCGCAGAUAUCAAGAGGAACACCAGUGGCGAAGGCGAGUCCCUGGACGAUACCUGACACUGAGGCACGAAAGCUAGGGGAGCAAACGGG
rnacentral:rRNA from 1 species